AGGGGCGUAGUUAAGUGGUAUAACUGCUCUCUCCAAAAGAGCUGUCGGGGGUCCGAUUCCCUCCGCCCCUG
rnacentral:tRNA from 1 species